rnacentral:rRNA from 1 species
UACGAAGGGGGCUAGCGUUGCUCGGAAUCACUGGGCGUAAAGGGUGCGUAGGCGGGUUUUUAAGUCAGAGGUGAAAUCCUGGAGCUCAACUCCAGAACUGCCUUUGAUACUGAAAGUCUUGAGUAUGGGAGAGGUGAGUGGAACUGCGAGUGUAGAGGUGAAAUUCGUAGAUAUUCGCAAGAACACCAGUGGCGAAGGCGGCUCACUGGCCCGAUACUGACGCUGAGGCACGAAAGCGUGGGGAGCAAACAGG